rnacentral:tRNA from 3 species
AGAGAGGUGUCCGAGUGGUCGAAGGAGCACGAUUGGAAAUCGUGUAUACGGCAACGUAUCGAGGGUUCGAAUCCCUUCCUCUCUGCCA